rnacentral:rRNA from 1 species
AUGGACGUCAUCGCGCCGGACCGCACCAAGAUCGCGCCGGAGAUCGACAGGGACGAGGCCCUGGAGGGCGACAGGGAGUCGGACCCCGCGCUGGCGUCGACGCGCGAGUGGCAGCUGGAGGCCAUGCCGCGGUGGCAGGACGAGCUGACGGUGCGGGGCAUGGUGGCGGCGCUGCUGAUCGGGUUCAUCUACACGGUCAUCGUGAUGAAGAUCGCGCUCACCACCGGGCUGGUGCCCACGCUGAACGUCUCCGCUGCGCUGCUCUCCUUCCUGGCGCUGCGCGGGUGGACGCGCCUGCUGGACCGCUUCGGCAUCGUGUCCCGCCCCUUCACGCGGCAGGAGAACACCAUCGUCCAGACCUGCGGCGUGGCCUGCUACACCAUCGCCUUCGCCGGUGGGUUCGGGUCAACAUUGCUGGGCCUGAACAAGAAGACGUACGAGCUGGCCGGGGACUCGCCGGGCAACGUGCCGGGAAGCUGGAAGGAGCCAGGGAUAGGCUGGAUGACGGGGUUCCUCCUGGCUUGCAGCUUCGGGGGCCUCCUCACCUUGAUUCCCCUCAGACAGGUAUUGGUCGUCGACUACAAAUUAGUUUACCCAAGUGGGACUGCAACUGCUAUUCUUAUAAACGGGUUUCAUACCGAUCAAGGCGACAAGAAUUCAAGGAAGCAAAUCCGUGGAUUUCUGAAAUACUUUGGGGGUAGUUUUCUAUGGAGUUUCUUCCAAUGGUUCUACACCGGGGGCGAUGCCUGUGGAUUUGUCCAGUUCCCUACUUUCGGUUUGAAGGCCUGGAAGCAAACCUUCUACUUUGACUUUAGCAUGACAUACGUUGGUGCCGGGAUGAUUUGCCCACAUAUAGUAAAUAUCUCUACCCUCCUUGGUGCAAUUAUCUCAUGGGGAAUAAUGUGGCCACUCAUUAGUAAACACAAGGGGGAUUGGUACCCUGCAAAAGCACCAGAAAGCAGCAUGAAAAGUUUGUACGGUUACAAGGCCUUCAUAUGCAUAGCUCUCAUCAUGGGGGAUGGCAUGUACCACUUCAUAAAAAUUGUUGGCAUCACUGCUAUGAGCAUGUAUCGACAAUUUAGUCGCAAGCAGGUUGACAACAAAGCAAAAAAUGUGGACGAUACAGUCUCGCUUGAGGAGUUUCAACGCCAGGAGAUCUUUAAGAGAGGCCAGAUCCCAUCUUGGAUGGCAUACACCGGUUAUGCCUUGUUUAGCGUUCUUGCAGUGGUUACCAUACCAGUAAUGUUCAAACAAGUGAAGUGGUACUAUGUUGUUAUAGCCUAUGUCGUUGCCCCCAUGCUUGGAUUCGCCAAUUCCUAUGGUACAGGGCUUACCGACAUCAACAUGGGCUAUAACUAUGGCAAGAUCGCUCUCUUUGUCUUUGCGGGAUGGGCCGGCAAGGAUAAUGGUGUCAUUGCAGGCCUUGUUGCUGGCACCCUAGUCAAGCAACUGGUGCUUAUCUCCGCCGAUUUGAUGCAAGACUUCAAGACGGGUUAUCUCACUCAAACAUCACCAAAAUCGAUGAUGAUUGCACAAGUUAUUGGAACAGCCAUGGGUUGCAUUAUCGCCCCCCUCACGUUCAUGCUCUUCUACAAGGCAUUUGAUAUUGGUAACCCAUAUGGUACUUGGAAGGCACCUUAUGCACUCAUAUACCGCAAUAUGGCAAUACUUGGUGUGGAGGGCUUCUCAGUGUUACCGAAGUAUUGCAUUGCAAUAUCUGGCGGAUUUUUCGCAUUUGCGGCAGUUGUCAGUAUAGUAAGAGAUGUCAUGCCACACAAGUAUGCGAAGUAUGUGCCCCUACCAAUGGCAAUGGCAGUUCCAUUCCUUGUAGGUGGGAGCUUUGCUAUCGAUAUGUGCCUCGGGAGUUUGAUAGUUUUUGCAUGGACCAAGAUAAACAAGAAGGAGGCUGGCUUCAUGGUGCCCGCAGUUGCAUCCGCUUUGAUAUGUGGGGAUGGCAUAUGGACGUUUCCUGCUUCAAUACUUGCUCUUGCCAAGAUUAAACCACCAAUUUGCAUGAAGUUUCUACCUGCUGCCUAA